AGAGAGAGACAUGCGCGCAUAUCAAUAAGCGGAGGAAAAGAAACUAACAAGGAUUCCCCUAGUAACGGCGAGUGAAGCGGGAAGAGCUCAAAUUUGAAAUCUUAAAGGGUUUCCCUUUACGAAUUGUAGUUUAAAGAAGUGUUUUCUGUUGAGGUUUUGGUAAAAGUUCUUUGGAAUAGGACAUCAUAGAGGGUGAGAAUCCCGUAUUUGACCUUUACUUUCAACUUUGUGAUACACUUUCAAAGAGUCGGAUUGUUUGGGAAUGCAGUCCAAAAUGGGUGGUAAAUUUCAUCUAAAGCUAAAUAUUGGCGAGAGACCGAUAGCGAACAAGUACCGUGAGGGAAAGAUGAAAAGAACUUUGAAAAGAGAGUUAAACAGUACGUGAAAUUGUCAAAAGGGAAGCGUUUGACACCAGUGUUGUUUUUCUGAAAAUCAAUUAAAGAACUGUUUAUGCUAAGUGUUUAGACUUUAUCAGCUAACUGUUUAGUUUUGAGCUUUUCUUUAAUGCACUUUUCAGUUAACAAGUCAACAUCAAUUUCUUUUGCUGUAAAAAAGCUUGAGGAAGGUGGCUUGAGAUUCGUCUUAAGUGUUUAUAGCCUCUUGCCUAUGCAGUCGGAGAGAUUGAGGUCUGCAGCGUAGAUCCUUCGGGGCUAAAUGCAUUUGUGCUAAGUUAUAGCAUUUUAUAGACAACUUGUUGACUAUGAUUUGUCUUGUAGCUUACUCGCUUAUGUUAUUUUACCUACGCUUAGGAUGUUGAGCGCAUGUCUCUCUCU
rnacentral:rRNA from 1 species